UUUCUACGGCGGGCGGCGGCGUGGACUCCCCCCACGUCAAGUUGCACGCCGGCAUGUAACUUCGUUAUCGACUCUUUUUCCCGUAGUAACAGUACAGAAGUAUCUGCAUUUCGGAGCGCAAUCAUUGCCUGUCCCUGACGGAGUCCUACACGUUUUGCUUUCCUGAAGAUAAGCUGAGCCCAUUCGAAGCCUUCGACCGCAAGAAAAAGACGUUCAGAAAGCGCCGUUCAGCUUUAGCUCUGACGUUUCUGCAUGCCAGUUUUGCGUCAGCAACCGCAUCAUCCACCCUUCAGAGUAGUGCUGGCUCUCCCUCAAGACGUUUUUCCUGUGCUGCAAAGUUGCCUAUAAGCAGCGCAUCGUCGUGGACGCAAGAAAAAAGUCAUAAUUGUCGUUUAUCUGCUUCUAGUAACGUCAUCUCACAAAGCGAAGGUUUUACGUCUAGAAUCGCAUCAUCUUUGGGAUAAAAACUUUGGCGCCGUGAUUCGAGAAGUUCGACAAACUUCGCUUCACAUGACGCCUUAGUUACUGCAAACGCGACUCAAUUGCACGUAUAUAAAGAAAAACUUUUUUGUGAAGCUUUGGGCAUGGACGAAGGAGUCCGUAAAGAGGCUGACGCCCACGACACUGAUGUUUACGAGUUUUUUAGGAAAGGGCUCGAACAGCUCCGGCACGAUCAAGAACCGAAGAACCCUCCCGGUGUGACCAGUGAGCGUGCACAACAAGGCGUUGAGCUCACGUACACCGAGAAGCUUUCAGAUGAGGACGCUGGCGUGCUUCGUCGCAUGUUAAGCACAGGCCCACCCGUGAAGAAGAUUUGUAUAUGGGAAAUGACACUGAACGCGUUCCGGAUCGCAUUUGAUGACUUCCGAAGCUGCUCUUCGCUCGAAGGACUGGAAGUGCUUCACAUUGAAUGCGGGGGAGAAGAUUGCAGCGUAAAACUUUCCGGAUUGUUCAGCGGCCUGCGUUCUUUGGACUUGCGAUGCGACAACAUAGGUACUGAAUUUGCAAAAGAAAUUGCAAGCUAUCUGCGAGAAAACAAGACACUUAUGAAAUUUAGUCUUUGGUACUCCUGCGGCGGCGACGAGGGUGCUGCAGCGCUCGUCGAAGCAUUAUCGGUGAACGAAACGCUGAAGAGCUUUACCUUGGCGCAGAUGAGUUUAUCGUCGGCGAUCUUGAUCCGCUUCGCCGAGGUGCUGGCAUCCAACUCAACACUAGAGGUGGUGGACCUUUUCGAUGUGUGUCCCGCGGAAAAGGACCAAGUGUCGCGUUUGUUGGAGACGGGACGGUACGCGAGCGCCUUCAAGAGGCUUCGAUUCCUGUGGCCCGAGCAGCUCCUUCCGCUACUGACGAGGCUCCUUCGGGAACAAGCGUGCCAUCCCGAGCUGUCCGUCAGCGUCACCUCUUCGGUUGACGACGUCGUUCUUCGGGAAUUCUUCGAUGCCGUGGCCGAGGACACGACUCUCCGCAUGCUCCACUUUUACCCGAGCGAGAAAACAUUCGACGCACUCGCGCGCGGCAUCGCUUCUGUAGUGAAGCGUACGACGACGCUCCGCGAAAUCUGCAACCUCAUGGGCGUGGAACUCGGCAAAGAGCGGCAGCUUGUCAGCAUCCUCGAUUCCUUGAAAGAGAACCGCUCUGUCAGGACGUUCACAAUGUACGCCGAAUUGCUGACUGCGGAAAUAGCGACGUCCCUGUCGGAGUUACUCGCUGUGAACAAUACCUUGAAUGACGUGGCCAUAUGUGAGUAUUGGGGAAUCUUGCCCGACCAGGUAGAAACCAUCCUCCAGGGUUUGAGGAAUAACUACACCUUGACAGGUCUCAUGGUUUCCUGGGACCCUGAUGACUCCGAUGGAAUCCGUGAGAUGGAAGAGCUUUUGAAGAGGAACGUUCGUCUCCAAAAGAAGGCGGCGGAGUUCGUGAUUUCUGGCGGUGGUGACGUCAGCGAUGUGGAAGGCGCGGAUGCUUUCAAGAAGCUGCAUUCAAGCGCUGGCCUUGUGGAGAAGGUGCGGGAGCUUACCGGCAAGACCACAGAGGCAGCGUUAGAAGAAAUACAGUCAGCUUUCGCUCGCUUAUCUGCGUGAAUGCGGCCCUUGUAAAGCAGAGGGCACAUUUGAAUGCAUCAGUGAUAUCGUCGCCUGUCUGCUACUUCUAGCUGGUGCGCUUUUGCGAAGUGGGGGGACAGUUGUCAUGAACUACGUGCGCCGUUUCGUUGAUUGUGUGUACGUGUGGGAAGUAGGCGUCAGUAUGAAUAUUUUGCUGUGUAGGUUACAAAUGGGGUGUUUACGUAUUUUCUAACGUGCGAAGGGAUGAAUAAACGUUCCGAAAACAAGGUGAUUGCUUGUAGUGCGCUGUAUCAAAAAAGUAUUGCAGGGUUCACUUAAUUAAGCACACUGUUGUCACGUCAUCUAAUCGUGCGCGCUCUUAUCUUUCUUUACGUACUAUUCUCUCUCUCGUUUCCAAUAUGUGUCGGAAGUGGUUAAGCCCUGUGUUUGCGUUGUGGGAUAAUAAAGAAGCGGCAGAGCCAUGAACCCCUUAUUUUCAAAUAUCUUCUCUCGUUUCUGCAUAAAAGACCCUACAGGGCUUUUUUCUAACCACUAAACUCAUAUAGCAGCUCGCCCAAUCCUCCCUCUAAAUUCCAGAUCCCCGUGACGGCUUUUCAACGAUAGCUGUUGUGUGCUCUUGACAUCCUAUGAAGAAUUUUUUUUUUCAGUACAUAUAACGAAUUUCGACUAUGCGCGAUGACGAAACAAUACGUAAGGACGAUGCAAUACCUAAAUUGGCGCACACGUUUGCAGAGCUGGCUUAAAUACAUGAAUAUGACCGAGCGCAUGUGUCUUUAUGCAUUACUAGUGAGACAAACGCGAAGAGUACAUUUGCACUCGAGUUGUCCGGAGUUGUUGACACGUAGUGAAAGAAAAAAACGAAAAAGAAAAUAACACUGCUUGUUUAAGCGUGUAACUUCUUCCUGGCGUCGACUUCCGUUUAUUCACGAGCAGAUGAAUCCGUAACUUUUUAGAGUUAUUGAUUAUUCAAGUUCGGUUGGCUGAGUUUACAUUGUCAUGCGCUUGUUGGAUUGUGCCACUUGUGGCCAUGUACUGGAAGCAUCGUCUUCAGAGGUCUCGAUGUAUGGGAACAACGUUCUCUCCGAUAUUUCUUUGUCACACUGGGCCUCGCUUUGCCCAAAAUUGACACAUGUUAAGACUCUGGAACUGUGCCGCCAUCAUCAACACUUCACGAGCACAGUGACAUUUGUCUCCAAAACACGCAUGCCGUCAUCAAGCGCCUAGUCGUCUGCGUGACCGAUUUGAUUCGUCUGUAGGAAGCUGAAUUACCAUUGCGUUGACUGUUGUUUCCUCUUAUAAGCACCCGAAAGGGAUUAUUCAGUUAUGAGCAUGUUAAUUUCGACUUUUCUUUUUUGUUGAAUUAGGUAAAGGUCCUUAAUCUAGACACACCAUGCAGAAUUCUGGCAAGCCAGGAUAGCUCCAUACGAACCAGUUUCCCAGGAGACAUAUGUGACGUGACGUCACGACAGAGGAGGCGGUCACGUAGAACCAGGACAUCGCGAAGUUUGGCACACAAUUCGUCUCGCUCUGAAUGAGUGUAUGACACUGAAGAUGCUCGGUUUUCAAGCAUUGUCAUAAUGUCCAUCACAUGAGCAUAGCCUGUACACACCAUAGCAUAGUUUCCUACGUUAACUGUAGCCUCAAGGCGGUUAGAAAUAAUUCCAAGCAUUAGCAUCAAUGAAGCCUAUCGUCUAGAAAUUCCAAGAGUGCUUAGGAUGCGCAUAAUUAUUUUUUCUGUUAUGAGCGUUCCAUUUUGUUAAGACAGCAAAAGAGCGUAUUCGUGCACUGUUAAGGCCCAUAUUUUAUUUAUGCGCCCUCAUGAAGAUCAUCCGACCUCUUGAAAACAACGUGAUUUGAUGUAGUCAGAAAUGCCGGCCAGCUAUCACAUUUUACUCAGUUAAAAGAAUGCAAUGAACGACUCACGUGCGGUUUCUUUAGCUCACUGCACGUGAGUGCGCCCUUGAACCGCACCUAGUAGCUUGCAAGCAACAUAAGCAAAUUAGGCAAUGAACAUAUUCCUUCGACAAAAUGCGGAUCGAAGUUGCCGAAACAUUCACUCAAGGGAGUUGCAAUGUGAGGUUUAUUUCAUUAACAACGUACUAUCGCGCUCCGUGGGAGUUACAACGGGCGACCACUUUGCCAGGCACUCUCACGUUUAUAGUUCAAACGUAGAAUAAAGAACCGUUCAAUCAGCGCGGUAGUACGUGUGCAUUUCUCUUCGUAGAGCGAAUAAUCGACAACGUCGGCUAUACCAGCGCUGUACUACGUGCAGCGGUGCGCUGAGAAGACACGCCGAACAGGGCGUUGAGUCCAACGGUGAUGCCACUGAAAUUUCGUUUUCUACGCAACUUUAACGACGGGCGGCUGACUGCGCUGCGCGGUCACCUCCCACAUCGAUAUGCACUCCGGCGUUUAACGUUGUUAUCGGCCGUCUUUCAUAGUGCAUGUAACGAACAAUCCGCAUUUUGUUGCAGUUAUCUUAUCUUUUCACGUGUUCCCGGUGGAGCCCCACACUAUUCUCCGUUUACCCGACAACGAGCUCAGUACACUCGCAGACGAGUGCGAGCGAAAACGUGCCGAAGUCGUCUCACCGAACGUCAUUCGUUCUUCGGGUGGACAACGCAGCCAGGGUGGAGAUUUACGAGCCAUCGAGCUUCCUGCGUGGUGGUGACGCUUCCUCCAGACACGAAUCUUCUCCGGCAAAGUCGGUUGGAAAGACCUGAUCCUUGCUGGCGCAAGGAAACUUCAAAUUACCGCUCAUCAGUUUCUGAUAACGGCACCUCACGAAACCGGGUUUUCGCGGAAAAUCGUAUUCAUGUCUAGUUCAGUCUGUCAAUUUUGAACUUUUCACCGCUGCGGUUUGGAAAGUAAGACAACCUUAGCUCGUCUUGCUGUCUUAUUAGCACGAGCACAACACAAUUGACCCUCCGAAAGUAGAAAGAAACACUAUAUUUGCACGUUGUUAAAAUGGCCGACGCAGUCAUUAAUGAGGGCCACACCCAGGAUACUGAUGUCAAGGAGUUUUUGCGGAAAGGACUCCAAAGGCUUAGACCCUUCGACGAAGUGAACCCUACCGGCGUGACCCAUGAGAGCAUGCAACAAGGCGCAGACCUCGAAUACACCGAGAAACUUUCAGACAAGGAUGCUGGCGUGCUCCGGCGGUUGUUGAGCUCAGGAACUUCCGUGAGGAAGCUGUGUAUAUUCGAAAUAUCGCACGGCGCAUUCAAGAUUGCUUUCCACAACCUCGAAGAAUGUCCUUCGCUGCAAGAAGUCCUCUUUCUUCAUGUUGACUGCAAAGGCAAAGACUUAGGCAUACAUCUUUGUGGCGCAUUUAAAAAUCUGCGCUCGUUAGACUUGCGCUGCGACAACACAGGGAGUGGAUUCGCGAAGGAGAUCGCACGCUAUAUCCACGAGAACAAGUCGCUCAGAGAACUCAGCCUCUGGAACUCGUGUGGCGGCGACGAAGGUGCCGCAGCACUCAUCGAAGUGUUAACGAUGAACGAAACUCUCAAGAGGUUCACCUUAGCUGCGAUGGAGUUAUCUUCGGACACCUUGAUCGGCUUCGUCAAGAUGCUAGCAUCCAACUCGACGUUGGAGCUCGUGGACCUUUUCGACGUGUGUCCCGCGGAAAAGGACCAAGUGUCGCGUCUGUUGGAGACGGACCUGUACGCGAGCGCCUUCACGAGGCUUCGCAUCCUGUGGCCCGAGCAACUUCUUCCGCAAGUCACGAGGCUUCUUCGUCAACAAGCGUGCAAUCCAGAGCUGUCCGUCAGCGUCACUUCCUCGGUCGACGAGGUCGUUCUUCGGGAAUUCUUCGAUGCCGUGGCAGCAGACACGACGCUUCGCAUGCUCCACUUUUACCCGAGCGAGGACGUAUUCGAUGCACUCGCAGACGGCAUCGCUUCCGUAGUGAAGCGUACGAAGACACUCCGGGAAAUCUGCAACCUCAUGCGCGUGCAAGAAGGAAAAGAGCGCCAGCUUGUCAACGUCCUGAAUGCAUUGAAAGAAAAUCGUUCCGUUACGAAGUUCACAAUGUACACCGAACUGCUGACGGCCGAAAUAGCGGCGUCGCUGUCCCAGUUACUCGCUGUGAACAAUACAUUGAAUGACGUGGCCAUCUGCGAGUACUGGGGAAUCUUGCCCGACCAGGUAGAAACCAUCCUGCAGGGUUUGAGGAAAAACUACACCUUGACAGGUCUCAUGGUUUCCUGGGACCCUGAUGACUCCGAUGGAAUCAGCGAGAUGGAAGAGCUUUUGAAGAGGAACGUUCGUCUUCAAAAGAAGGCGGCGGAGUUUGUGAUUUCGGGCAGUGGUGACGUCAGUGACGUGGAAGGCGCGGAUGCUUUGAAGAAACUGCACUCAAGCGCUGGCCUUGUAGAGAAGGUGCGGGAGCUUACCGGCAAGACCAGAGAGGCAGCGUUAGAUGAAAUACGGUCAGCUUUAGCUCGCUUAUCUGCGUGAAUGCGGCCCUUGUAAAGCAGAGGGCAUAUUUGAAGGCAUCUGUGAUAUCGUCGCCUGUCUGCUUGUUCUAGGUGAUUCGCUUUUACAAAAUGGGGACAGUGGUGAUGAAAUACGUGUGUGGUUCUGUUGGUCGAGUGGGCCUCAUGCGGAAAGUAUAGGUGUGCACAUGAGUGUUUUACUGUAUAUGUUACAGUAUGCGUGUACUAUUUCCUUGUGCAUGAUUGACCUAACACUGUAUUUUACUUAGUACUCUAUGAUGUGCGAAUGGAUGAAUAAACUAUGCUAAUAAAGGUAAAUGCGUGCAUUGCUCUGCUUCAAA